rnacentral:misc_RNA from 1 species
UUUGGUUUGUUACGGGUGGUUGGCUCUUUGCUUGCGCAACAACUGYCACCCGACUUACCUUUUCAGAYGUUUGCCUAGGCUUAUAUAGCCUAUGCAGAUUGUGGGUUUCCUGUGUUGCCUACCUACGUUAUGGAAUUGUCCUGAUCGAUAAUAGUUGCUUUCGUCUUGUGUCAUCCACAUGGCAUCAGAUGAACCUCGAAGCUUUCUCUUUGCACCACAUCAUUAAUGCAUGCGUUGAUGUUGUGGCCCAUUGAGCAUUGCUUGGUACCUUGGAUACGGAACCUGAUGUGGGCAUGGGUCCUAAGGGAUCCUUGUUCUGCCCUCUUUAGYGUUYGCGCUUCUCUUAAAAUGACUGCCCAGCCYGUUUGGCAAGUCCUCUCGGAUGGGUAUCGUCAAAGAGGAAUGC